rnacentral:tRNA from 1 species
UGUUCUGUAGCUUAGUUGGUUAAAGCGCUGGAUUAGCGAUACAGAGUCGUGGGUUCGAAUCUCAUCAAAACAA